UACGAAGGGGGCUAGCGUUGCUCGGAAUCACUGGGCGUAAAGGGCGCGUAGGCGGAUCUUUAAGUCGGGGGUGAAAGCCCAGGGCUCAACCCUGGAAUUGCCUUCGAUACUGGAGAUCUUGAGACCGGAAGAGGUAAGUGGAACUCCGAGUGUAGAGGUGAAAUUCGUAGAGAUCGGACAGACACCAGUGGCGAAGGCGGCCACCUAGCCCGCACUGACGCUGAGGCGCGAACAGCGUGGGGAGCGAACUGG
rnacentral:rRNA from 1 species